GACGAACGCUGGCGGCGUGCCUAAUACAUGCAAGUCGAGCGAAGUUUUUCUGGUGCUUGCACUAGAAAAACUUAGCGGCGAACGGGUGAGUAACACGUAAAGAACCUGCCUCAUAGACUGGGACAACUAUUGGAAACGAUAGCUAAUACCGGAUAACCGCAUUAACUGCAUGGUUGAUGUUUAAAAGUUGGUUUUGCUAACACUAUGAGAUGGCUUUGCGGUGCAUUAGCUAGUUGGUGGGGUAAAGGCCUACCAAGGCGACGAUGCAUAGCCGACCUGAGAGGGUGAUCGGCCACACUGGGACUGAGACACGGCCCAGACUCCUACGGGAGGCAGCAGUAGGGAAUCUUCCGCGAUGGGCGAAAGCCUGACGGAGCAACGCCGCGUGAGUGAAGAAGGAUUUCGGUUCGUAAAGCUCUGUUGUUAGGGAAGAAUGAUUGUGUAGUAACUAUACACAGUAGAGACGGUACCUAACCAGAAAGCCACGGCUAACUACGUG
rnacentral:rRNA from 1 species